UUGGUGGGGGUAACGGGCUAUGGCUGAGUGGUAAAGCGCUUUCUUUGGGAGAAAGCCUUCCUGUGUUCGAAUCACAGUAACCCGAAUAGAGCUAAUAGAAAAGAUAUAUAAAUAUUAUUUGUAAUAAUAUAAGUAUAUAAAGAAACUAUUAUAAAAUUAAUGCUAUGUGUCAAAGAGAAAAAUUUAUAGUAUAUAUAUAAGCUCUUAGGAAAAUCUGAUCCAAAACGAAGUGAAAUGAAAUAUCUUAGUAACUUAAAAAAAUCAAAAGAGAUUCUGUGAUUAGCGUGAGUGAAAAUAGAAGAGCCUAAAAAGUAGAAUGGUCCAAAAAACUGUUUAAAUAGAAAGGGGAACCUUCCUCAAAGGCUAAAUAUGACACGUAAGCGAUAGUGAAAAGUACCGUGAGGGAACAAAAUAAAAAUAGUAGUUUUAUAAGCAGUUCGAUAAAAAGAACGUACCUUUUGCAUAAUGGGUCAUCAAGUUAACAUUAGACGCGAGCAUUGUGCGUAGUUAAACCGAACGUAAAAAUAACGUAAAAGUGUCUAAUGUUAGACCCGAAUAGCGGUGAUUUUACCACAGUCAGGAUUAUAAAGGUCCGAACGGGUGAUUGUUGCAAAAAUCUCCGAAGAACUGUGGUAGGUGUGGUGAAUUAUCGCCCCAUUAAAAUAUAAUCCUUAUAUUAAUGUAUUAUCAAGGAGGGUUUUAAUAGAAUCUGGCUCAUAUCGGAGGAGUCUUAGGCUAAGAUAAUACCGAGGGAAGUUUAUCUUAUAGCUAAACACAAUAGUAAGAUAUAACCCCGUAACGACUUCAUUCGAAAGAAUGGGACGUGGUCGAUAUUAUAUACUUAGAGUUAUAAUACACACGUAAUACGCCAGCACUUUAUAGUUUUAGUUUAAUAAGGUAAGUAGUCAUAAGAGUUAUUGCUAUAAAAAUUCUUAUUUACCUAAGUUAGAUUUAAAGUUGAAGGUAUAGUCUAAACUUUGGUGAAAAUCAAAGAAAAAUUGGAAAGACAACACUGACCGCUGUAGCUGGUUUUCUGCGAAACCUAUACUAGUAGGCAAUUUAAGAAAAAUCUUAGCAGGUACAGAAUUUAAUCUCGGACAAGACGUGUAAACGUUUUAUUUUGUACAAAUAGGGGGAUCUUAGCGAUUUUAUCUGUGAGUAUGUAUGCUCGGAACGGCAAAGAUGUAUCUUGAAUGAUCAGACAUAGAAUGAUAAGGUUGUAUGUCAAAAGGGAAACAGCCCAGAACAAUAAUUAAGGUUCCUAAAUUAUUAGUUAAGUGAAAUAAAGAGAGUUUUUAUUGAAGUCGACAAGGAGAUAGGCUUAGAAUCAGCCAUAAUUUAAUGAGUUCGUAACAGAGCGCUUGUUAAUCGAUAAUAGGCAUCUAAGAUUUAACGGAUCUAAACAAUAUACCGAAAUUUUGUCCAUAAUAUAUUGUAUUAAUAAUAUUUAAUAUAGUAUAAUGGGGUAGCAGAACGUUGAGUCUAAAAAUAAGGUUUUAUUUAUUAAAUAAAAUUUUGAAAUAACUCAAGUGAGAAUGGUGACAUGAGUAACUAAAAGAAAAGUUUUUAGUUUUCCGCCUUAAGCUUAUGGUUAAAAUUAAGUAACGGCCUCUAAGUUUAUAUUAUCUAAAGAUUUAAAUGAUGAGAAAAUCUUUUUACUAAAAAACAACAUUUAAGCGUAAAAUGUGCAGGAAAAAAUAGUAAAGUAAAUAACCGUACCUAGAAUCUGAAACAAGUAAGCAAGUAGAGAAUACGAAGGCGUAAAUGAGCUAACAAUCAUAAAGGAACUCGGCAAAAUGACUACUGUAACUUCGGGAGAAAGAGGGCUACAAAAAUAAAUACCGGAAGUUGAGCUACUAUGGGUUUAUACAAUAGGAAGAGGCAUAGAAUAGUGCUGUACGACUGUUUAAUUAAAACACAGCACUUUGCUUAAGAUAAAAAAAAAUCUACGUAUAAAGUGUGAGAUCUGCCCAGUAGCCGGCAGGUUAACUGAAAUAAUUUAGUAGUACUAAUACUAGAUAUUGAAGGACACCCCGGUUAAAGGCGGCCUUAACGUGAGGGUCCUAAGGUAGCAAAAUGCCUUGGCCGUUAAAUGCGGUCUUGCAUGAAUGGUGCAACGAUACAGCAGCUGUCUCUAUGAUUGGCUCAGUGAAAUUGGAAUAGCAGUACUAAUGUGCUGUGUUGGUGAAAAUCCAACUCUACAAAAUUAGAGUAAUUAUCUUUGCUUUUUAUAAUAAUGGUAAACGUUUAACACUAUGAAUAAAUUAAUAUGUAAGGCAAAUUUUAACUAUGAACAAUUAUACAAAAGGUUUAAGCAGUUCGGUAGAUAUAACAUAUUAGUGGGCGUACUUAAUAAAACAUUAGGGUUAUAAAAAGUAAAGAUGGAGAUUUAGUGAAAAAGGUUAUAACCGAAAGCGUUCAAAGCCAUUCUGCAUGUGUUGUGGCUGGCUUUGGACAGUUUUGUAGAAAAAUUAAGUGAAAACGGUUAACGAUAUCCUGAUCAAAGACCGUCGGCAGUUAUAAAUGUCGCUACAGACUGGUUCACUAGGGUUAGACUGAAAUGUCUGUCCAAAUGUACAGUCGAGUUAUGUAACGAGGUAAGACUCGUAAGGGGGGGAAGGAUUAUCUUGGUAUUGUACGAAUGUAUACAAAGGUAAAACCCCCUAGUCAUAACAGGCAGAUACUGCUUACCUCUAGAUAGACGAGAAGACCCUAUGCAGCUUUACUGUUACUAUUUAUGGAGUAUGAUCGAAAAUUCACAGUUUAUAAUAAGGUAAUUGACAAUUUGCAAAUGAGAAUCCUUUAUUUAUCUUUCAUAUGAAUGAAUAAGAUUAAAUCAACCUAAUUCAACUUACUAUUAAAAGUAUGCGACCUUUGGUCAAAGGGACUAUGACUAGUAGACAGUUUAUGUGGGGCACAGACCCUGUAAAGAGUAAACAGGAGUAUCUAAAAAAAAAUAAUCAAAAAGAUUAUUUAGUUUGCAAUUAAAGGUAGUUUGACUAUUUAUAA
rnacentral:tRNA from 1 species